rnacentral:lncRNA from 1 species
AGUCGUGUAUGCCAUGUACAUUCAUAUGCAUUAAGUCGGAGCUUUGCUCACACCACGUUGGCCUGGAUUGGCAAAAUUUUAAGUUGAAAGUUGAAGGCUUAUGCCUUGAUGCCCACUAAAAUGGCAAUGAUUUUAAGUUGGGAGUUUUACUCCGAUUGGUACCACAUGCAUGACGAGUCGAGUCUCAUUUGAGUUGCAUUUUAUGUUGUUAUUGAGUU